UACGUAGGGGGCAAGCGUUGUCCGGAUUUAUUGGGCGUAAGGAGCGUGUAGGCGGCCAGGUAGGUCAGCUGUGAAAACUCGAGGCUCAACCUCGAGACGUCGGUUGAAACCACCUGGCUAGAGUCCGGAAGAGGAGAGUGGAAUUCCUGGUGUAGCGGUGAAAUGCGCAGAUAUCAGGAAGAACACCCGUGGCGAAGGCGGCUCUCUGGGACGGUACUGACGCUGAGACGCGAAAGCGUGGGGAGCGAACAGG
rnacentral:rRNA from 1 species